rnacentral:rRNA from 1 species
AUUGAACGCUGGCGGUAUGCUUAACACAUGCAAGUCGAACGAGAAAGCACCUUCGGGUGUGAGUACAGUGGCGAACGGGUGAGUAACACGUGGGCAACCUGCCCUGGAGACUGGGAUAACGUUCCGAAAGGGACGCUAAUACCGGAUGACGCGCGAUCUGCCAAGUAGGUCGCGCCAAAUGGUAGCUUCGGCUUCUACUCUGGGAUGGGCCCGCGCCGGAUUAGCUUGUUGGUGGGGUAAUGGCUCACCAAGGCGACGAUCCGUAGCUGGUCUGAGAGGACGAUCAGCCACACUGGGACUGAGACACGGCCCAGACUCCUACGGGUGGCUG